GGUGUUUGUGCUCAGUGCAGUUAUACUCCAGUGUGGCUUGCAAAUCUGGGUAAUGGUGUUUCAAUGUCAGCACCAAGUUCUCAUGGAAGAAAUCCUUGGGAUCUGCCUCUGGAAUCCACAGCUCAGUAGUCCAUCCCAUCCUUGCAUUAGCAGACUGUGGUGGAGGUAGAUCUUGCAUCUCCUCAUCCUCAGGCACUUCCUCCUGAGCUUCCACCCUUGAUUCCUCAUCUUCCAGCUCAGGAACUCCAUCCACAUGCUGUCCGCCUAGGUUGAACAUGGCACGGUACUCCUCAGCAGCCAUGCGUGCAGCACUACGGGUGCGGGGCGGCAUCU
rnacentral:lncRNA from 1 species